ACGGCUUCCACUAGAAGUCAACAGUCUUUACAAAGUUGUUUGAAGCGUCUACGAUGAACAGAGACCGAAUGAGAAGGAGGGGAACUUGUUGAGGCAGGGGAUGACAUCACUUCUUGGCGCACGUUGAUGAGAGUGGAUCCUCCGUUCCAAAACCUUUUUCAAGACACAGGAACUGAAAUAUUACUGAAUAUUCACGUUCUGAAGGCCCUAAAGAUUGAUGUUUUACAACGUUUGACAUGUUUGAACGAACGUAAAUACAACUUUUCUUUACUUUUCAUCGCGACAUCGUCUGCGCGCUUCCUACUUUUGGAGUAGCUUACUGAACGCACGAACAACAAGGAGUUAUUUGGACAAAAAUGAUGGACUUUAUUGAACAAAACAACAUUUGUUUGAGAUUCCUGGAAGUGCCUUCUGAUGAAGAUCAUCAAAGUCUGCUGUCCCAACAUGGUUCAAGAUGGCCACCAUUGUUCCUGUACCCAAGAAGGCAAAGACGGACCACGAGGCUUCAACAGUAUCAGUGGGUUGACCUGUACUGGCACUGCCUUUCUGGUCCAUCGGAAAAGAAAGAGAGCACCUGAAGAACUGGGGAAGACACGGAGCAACAGUGGCCCAAACUGACUCCACAUACCACCCGGAACCCCCCAGUAUCCAGACCCAGCAAUGGACCAGCUGCCUGAGGAGAAGAUGACGGACUGCAAGCCUUAAGACAUGAGCUCUAGGAUCAUGCCUCAGAACUACCUGGCCUGAUGACUCCUGGCUGUCCCCAGCCCACCUGGUUAUGCUGCUGCUUCAGUUUCAACUGUUCAGCCUGCGGCUAGGGAACCCUGACCUGUUCACCGGACGUGCUACCUUGUCCUGGACCUGCUGUUUUCGACUCUCUCUCUCUCUACCGCACCUGCUGUCUCGACCUCUGAAUGCUCAGCUAUGAAACGCCAACUGACAUUUACUCCUGAGGACACUGGGCAGUAUAUGAGAGGCUGAUGUUUGAUGAGUUAUGUGGCCAUCCGUUCCUGCUGGACUAACCCAAGGCUAAGAUUACAUCACACUGGACACUAACCGCCUGGGACAAGACACCACCAACAGCCACUGGAAGAUCACUGGACCGAAGGACAUCAAAUCACAUACACAUACUUAGCAGAUGUUAUUACGGGUGUAGCGAAAUUAUUAUAAAUGAUCAUCGCCCCACCUACCACCAUCCCGACGAACUCUGCACUGACCACCACGACCCCUAGCUCUCACCUCCAAUUUAAUAGAGGUAAGAAGCCACCACCUUGCAUCCAACUCUUCAUAUAGCCGUGCAAAACACUGGACAUUCCAACCACCAUGACAGCCCACCAGCUCCCAAGUACCAGAACUCUUUACACCACAACAUCAGCCCCUCACCUUUUUCCCCCAUUGCCUUGCCAUUUGACCUACCGACCUAAUGCCACCCCUUUUCUAAACCCCAGUUAAAAUAGUAUAUGUGACCGACAGCCUUGCUUCGGUCUUAUUUAGCAAAAUUUGAAAUUGUGUUUUUUACAUUGGAUGAAAGCAGCUACAAAAUGGUAUAUCACACACUGCAUUUGAGGAAAAAUGGGAAAGUAAUUCUGCUUUGAAAUUUGACAAACCUUUGAGAAAAUGGCCUUUGAAUGUUUUGGUACCUACUGGAGAGCUCUUCUUUGUCUACACCCAUUCAGCAUCGUUCACACCCUCUUAAGCUUUAGCUCCACCAAUCUCUUUAAGGGUUGAACUGACCGUUCUGUCCUAACAACAGCAGUCAAGCUAACUGGCUAAGAGUUGUCGCGGUGAAAUUCUAUUGAAAUGAAUACUUGCAUAGUAGUCUUUUGUUAAGACAUGUAGCUAGCUAAUUAACCAUAAUCUCAACUCAUGAUGUUAAUACCCUGCAUGAAUCUGCAGGUAGCUAACCAACCAGGUUCAAUGUUAGUGAGCUAACAUUAGGCUAUAACUACAUUUACAUUUUAGUCAUUUAGCAGACGCUCGUAGCCAGAGCGACUUACAGUGGUGAAUGCAUAAAUUUCUUUUUUUUUUCUU
rnacentral:lncRNA from 1 species